AAAAAAAGUAAAAACAACAAACAAAAGAAGACAAAAUUAUACAUUGCUUUAUAAAAGCAUUUGCUUUAUUAAAGUGUCGUUUUUUGAAAAAGAAGAUUCCCUAAACCAUUAUGAAAGGUGGUAGGGACCCUAACUCAAUUAUUUCUCCAUUCUCUCUUUCCCUUUGGCUGUAGUGGAACUUUGAAUUUGUUCCGUAAUGGAUUGUUUGACAUUAUUGAUGAUAUCAUCAAUUGAAAUAUCUGCUUCGUUUCCAUAUGGAUCUUGUGAUUCACCAGGAUUGCAAUAUUCUUCAUCAUCAUGUGAAGAGGUGGC
rnacentral:lncRNA from 1 species